rnacentral:rRNA from 1 species
GUCUACAGCCAUGUCACCCUGAACACAUUCGAUCUCAUCUGAUCUUGGAAGCUAAGCAUGGUCGGGCCUGGUUAGUACUUGGAUAGGAGACCUAGGAAGACCGGGUGCUGUAGGCA